UUAAUGAAUUUUAUGGCGGAAUUGUAGCUGGCCCCAACCGGGCAUGUGCACAUUCUGUUCAUUCCAUUCUCAUACACCUCUGUGCACUUUACAUAGGUUUGGUAUAGAAAAGGUCUUUAUUGACUUUGGAAAUACUGACCUAUGCUUUUAUAAACGCUUCAGUUUUAGAAUGUCAUCCGCGUAUAACGCAAUAAAUACAACUUUCAGCAACGGAUCUCUUGGCUCUCGCAUCGAUGAAGAACGCAGCGAAAUGCGAUAAGUAAUGUGAAUUGCAGAAUUCAGUGAAUCAUCGAAUCUUUGAACGCAUCUUGCGCCCUUUGGUAUUCCGAAGGGCAUGCCUGUUUGAGUGUCAUGGUAUUCUCAAUACCCCAAAUCUUUGCGGAUAAGGGUGUGUUGGACUUGGAGGUUUUUGCAGGUAAUGAUUGUAUUACCAGCUCCUCUUAAAUGCAUUAGCAGAGAUAAUACUGCUACUCUCCAGUGUGAUAAUUGUCUACACUGUUAGUAGUGCGGUAUAACAAAAUGUCUAUGCUUCUAAUCGUCUUCGGACAACUUUUGACAAUCUGACCUCAAAUCAGGUAGGACUACCCGCUGAACUUAAGCAUAUCAAUA
rnacentral:rRNA from 1 species